rnacentral:rRNA from 1 species
GAUGAACGCUGGCGGCGUGCCUAAUACAUGCAAGUCGAGCGAACAGACGAGGAGCUUGCUCCUCUGACGUUAGCGGCGGACGGGUGAGUAACACGUGGAUAACCUACCUAUAAGACUGGGAUAACUUCGGGAAACCGGAGCUAAUACCGGAUAAUAUAUUGAACCGCAUGGUUCAAUAGUGAAAGACGGUUUUGCUUUCACUUAUAGAUGGAUCCGCGCAGCAUUAGCUAGUUGGUAAGGUAACGGCUUACCAAGGCAACGAUGCUUAGCCGACCUGAGAGGGUGAUCGGCCACACUGGAACUGAGACACGGUCCAGACUCCGACGGGAGGCAGCAGUAGGGAAUCUUCCGCAAUGGGCGAAAGCCUGACGGAGCAACGCCGCGUGAGUGAUGAAGGUCUUCGGAUCGUAAAACUCUGUUAUUAGGGAAGAACAAAUGUGUAAGUAACUAUGCACGUCUUGACGGUACCUAAUCAGAAAGCCACGGCUAACUACGUG